rnacentral:lncRNA from 1 species
UGUAUAAUACCUGACUGGAGUGGCACAGUGCCUUCGGUCCCCAGGCGCCACAAUCACUUCACUAACCCCCUGUACUAGAGUGACGUUCAAGUGAAUAGCUCCACUGAUCACACUCUUUCCUGCUGAUUAACACUUUCCAACACGACCAGGCGCUCGGGUUCCAACUUUUCCUUUUAAAACAGCAGCAGCCAGCACUGCUUGCCUCCUCGGGUUAUAAACGCCGUCUGGGGCGUGGGGGACACCAUAAUUAAUAGCAGUUAACACUCCUCCUCCUCUCUCCAGCAUCCAAUUUCAUACCAGGGAGAGCUAUCAGUCCUAAGGACAAAGACAGUGUCUAUGGACACAGAGAUUUUUACCAAACCCUUGUUAAUCUUGAAGGAAAGGACUUCCUUGGGAAGAUAAUCCCAUUUCUUAUCUUUGCUCAUAUCCAGGGACAAUUUUGUGAGGUAAAAGAUACAGGGCAAAACUUUGCAUCUGCACGUGCUACAGAGAGCAAGUACUGUCUGGUAUUUCAAGCUUUUCACAAGGUUCCCAGGCCAGCCUGUGUUUCAGAUGGAUGUGGAGCAGAACAGAACAAGGACAGUUUAUCCAAGAACCAAGAAAAUGUCACCACCAUGCUCAAAUCCAGAGUGGCUAGGGAUGCAACGGAGCCAGCGGCAACAUCGGUGAAGCUGAUAGCUGAGGCUGACUGUCAUAACUUAGAGGAAAUUUCGGCUGAAACGACUUGAUAGAGAUGAAAGGUUUGCACAACAGCUGUUUCCAGAAUUCUCCAGCUCUCACCCAAGCUGGGUGGUCAUGGGCACAUAGUAAGCCAAAUAAUGAAGUCUGAGUGGGACAAGUGUGAGAAAAUCUGUUUCUUUCAAGCAUUACCAAAGUGCAGGCAGCCCCUCAGCUUCUUCAGACACUAUAGCAGAAGCUCAGCUGGAAAGCUGGAAACUUACCUUUUUUUUUUUUUUUUUGUUUCCACAAACUUCCAGCUUUAACCAAUAAUUAAAACCUUGAGCU